UUUCUUUCUUCUUCUCUACCAAACAACUCAUUCUUCUUUGUCUGUUCCAAUUUAACAAUAAAAAUAAAAGGACCGUCACAACCAUGGUGAGUACUAAAGUCCAGAAGAUUAUGACCCAACCAAUUUAACUUGAAGGACGCCGGAGAAGAAUGGUAUGUUGCCGCGGAUGAAAAAACCACCGUACAUGCACACCCACCAUCUCAUCAAUCACCAAAUAUUAAAGAAAAUAUUUUAUUUUCUCUCUGAAGCAUUUUAACUAACACCUAGGAAGCAAAAAUGGCAGCCAAACUGAGACAGACUUUUGGAUUGGCUGCAAGAGACCCAUCUGAGAAACAUGAUGAAUGGAGCACUUAUGUUUACCCUCUUGUUCAUGGGUCCUUGAGUUUCUGUGCUCCGAAGAAGAAGCUAACUCGAGAGUAAAUUAAAAAUUCAUAUAUGCAGCAUAUCAAAGCAAAGUGGUUUUCAUCUUCUAUGGUGGUUCUUGAGGCGGAGGCGGCAGUUGGAGUUUAAAGGUGGAGUCGGAGCAAAAGUAAAUAUCGGUUGGAGUUUUAACUGUGUUUGAUGUUUGAAAAUGGAUAAAUUGAAUUUGUAUAUAAUUGAAAAUAAAAGGAAAAAAGGAUAAAAGGGUCCCCAAAGGUUAUAUUUGAACCUGUUACCAAGAAAUUCAUUUUCCUAUAUGGAAUAUAAUUUAUGCAUUUUCUGUUA